UGUGUUCGAGGAAAUGCGCGAGGGCGAUGUGUUCGAGGAAAUGCGCGAGUGCGCCGCGCUCCGGCGCCGCGGGAGAUAGGAAAUAGCGGGAUUUGGUUGGCCGCCGCGGAACGAGUGGACGGCGUGGUGUCGCGCUGGAUUAGGCGAGCGGUUUCCGGCCCAUGGGCCGAGUACAUUGUUGUUGGGCCGAAUGGAUUGUUCGGCCUGGUUUGGGUUGGGCCUACUGAAAUCCAGCCCAAAACCACGUGACGGUAA
rnacentral:lncRNA from 1 species